UACGUAGGCAGCGAGCGUUGUUCGGAAUUACUGGGCGUAAAGAGUGUGUAGGCGGUGCUCCCAGUCUGUUGUGAAAUCUCCCGGCUUAACUGGGAGGGUGCAGCGGAAACUAGAGUGCUAGAGGGUGGGAGAGGUAAGCGGAAUUCCUGGUGUAGCGGUGAAAUGCGUAGAUAUCGGGAGGAACACCAGUGGCGAAGGCGGUUGCCUGGGGCUUUGCUGACGCUGAUGCGCGAAAGCGUGGGGAGCGAUCCGG
rnacentral:rRNA from 1 species